GCAAGGCGGUGGUGGUUGCCAGCGUGACUACGAAUCUCCUGUUCUCUGUGACUCCUGCUCCCUUCCGGCCACGCAGCCCUGAAAGUUGACUGUUCAUACUCUUUCCUGCGCGUGGCCUUUGUGUGCUCUCUCGUGACAGCACUGGUUUACCCUAAAACUUAGAAUACAUGCAGGAACUUGUGUGUGUUGUGGAAUCAGGUGCUGCUGUAUCCUGCUAAUGUCUUCUUUGUGGAGGAAAAAAAAAGAAAUCCAACCUGGCUGUGGCAGUUACCUCUCAGGAAGUUACAAGGAUGGGUCAGGAGGGAAACACCUUUAUUUUUCCUUUUGGCUUAAACCCAAAAGGUUAAAUAUAAUCAGAUUCUAAGAAUUCUUAUAAAUAAUCUAUGUAAUCCAGAUGCAGUAAACA